AAUUAAGGGCCAUCAGCAAACCAGUAUGACAUCUCAAGAGACAUUGAAUCUGCCAGCACCUUGAUUUACGAACAUCCCAGCCUCUAGAAAGAAUCAGGUACAACCUUUGAGAAGAACUUCUACACAGAUGAUGGUGAGACCUUCUUAGCUCAUGACCUCAGAGACACAGAAUCUGUCCCUGCCACUGCAAAGCCUGCAUCUUGUUUGGGGCCCUCAGAGCUUCGAUGGAGCAGCCUUCUCACUCUCCACGGGAAUCACUCAUCCAGGUUCCAUUCCUUCACCACCAUAUGCUAAACACUGGAACCGGUAUUUCUGGUGAGAUGUCAGGUUGCCCUGAAGACGUUAAAAACCCCUGAUGUUUUCAUAGCAUUCCAAAAUCAGAUGGCACUCCAAAAGCAUAAUGGCUGUCAGUAUAAAUAUACGCAACCCAGAGUUUAACAAUUGACAAGCUCAAGGUAAUGCAAUUAGUUCAGCUUGCUGUGCUGACUUUAUUUCUGUUAAGUAAGAGCUCUCACUGAUGUCCAGGACGUUACUGCAUUUCCAGCCCAGGAAUGUCUUUGUCUAUUCUUUAAGACCCAUUUGUAAACCAAAUUAGGUCAUAAUUAUCAUGUGAAGUUUCUUGUAGAUCAUUCCUAGGAGGAAGAAGGUAAUCUGUUAAUAAAAUGCAGUCGUGGUCAUUUUCCUCCUUCGGUGCUGGAAGCGAAGAGCAGGAUUAAGAUUAUUAUAUCAGGCUAAGGUAAUAUUAGCUGUAGAAAGCAACAGAACUUCAUAAGGGGUUAAUUGGCUUACAGAGUAAUGCUGAGUGUGACGAGAAUUUAGAAGAGAUUCAACUGACUAGCAUAUAAAUAGUUAAAGGAGACCCCAUCAUCAUUUCUUCAGUGACCUUGCAUGAGAGGGCUGUUGCUGAAAUAGCUCUUGUACAAGACGCAAAUCCUUUUGCUGCUAAAUCUAAUUGCUGACUAUACUAUCAGGUCAAUGUUGAUUACCAUGUUUUUGAGUAAAACACCUAAAGUAUUUCUUUUAUCUUCCUUCAAAAAGAGAAAAACUGGCAAGCUGUAAUUAGGGUGUCCUAAAGCUGGUGCCUGAGCCAAGAUAGACUUUAAGGUAUUUACUGCUUUCUCUCCUUUUGGCACCAUUCAAUCAGGUCAGGCUGGUUGGACUCAAGUAAUGCAUAUAUAGGUUGAGCAAUAAGUGAAAAGUUAGGCACCCAGUUCCAGCAAUAUCUAGUUAAUCCUAGAAAUCUCCUCAAUUGUUUUUUGUUUUCAGGAGAGAAAAAGUCAAAAUUUCUCUAAUCCUUUCAGAAUCUGUUAACAGUCUAUGUUUAGAUUUUAGAUGCACUAGAUAUUUUACAAUAGGCAAAAAAAUUGGAGUUUACCUUUGAAUACUUUAUGUCCCUCAGAUGCCAGUUGUUGCUGCAGAUGGAUUGUGUCCUUUUGAGAGACUAGUACUGUUUUUGAUCAUAAGAGUAAUCAUCUACACAUUGAAAUAAGGUAGAGUUGCUAGAGGAAUCUACAAUAGCUAAAUCAGCCUUGAGUACCUGAGAAAAGUACAAGUAUCUUCCUACAUAAAGUCAAAGGGAUAUUGACUGCCUCUUUCUACUGGAAUGCUAAAGAAGGUACUGCAUAAAUCAAUUACUGAAAAAUAGCAGCUGUUGGAAUUGCUGUGAGCAGAGUGUGUGGAUUUGGCAACACAGAAUGUUGAGGAAUCACAAUCUUAUUUGUAGCCUCACAUCUUGAACAAACAUCCAGCUUUUUCCACUUGGUGUUCUUGUUUGUUGAUAGGUGUAUUACAAGGACUGGUACAAGGAAUUAUAAGUCCCUUCUCAAGAAAGUUAUGAACAAGAGGUCUUACUGCAUUUAAUGCCUCUGGUUGAAGUAGAUAUUGCCAAAUAUUGGGUAGAGGCAUAGAGUUGUCAACAGUCACUUCAAUAGGAGUAGACUGUAUAAUGUUUCCAAUAUCUGAAGAAGAUGAUGACCACGGUUCUUUAGGCACAUGCAAUAAGAGGUCAUCAAAUUUUUCUUGGUCUAUUUGAAUCAUGGAUUAUAUA